UACGUAGGUGGCAAGCGUUAUCCGGAUUUACUGGGUGUAAAGGGCGUGUAGGCGGGACUGCAAGUCAGAUGUGAAAACCACGGGCUCAACCUGUGGCUUGCAUUUGAAACUGUAGUUCUUGAGUACUGGAGAGGCAGACGGAAUUCCUAGUGUAGCGGUGAAAUGCGUAGAUAUUAGGAGGAACACCAGUGGCGAAGGCGGUCUGCUGGACAGCAACUGACGCUGAGGCGCGAAAGCGUGGGGAGCAAACAGG
rnacentral:rRNA from 1 species